GUUCUCGUGGUGCUCAGUUGAUCAAAUCAAUGCUGAAACAAGCCUGUGGGGAGAGGAAGGAGGCAGGGUUCUGCUGUGAAGGAGAAGGUUGAGGAGGAAGCAGAGAAGGUGCUGCACUAUUUCAGAAAGCAGCCACAGGCCCUGUCUGGGGCAUCCUCAGAUGUCAGCAUCUCAAGGCAGCACAGGUGACAGGCUCUCUGCAAAGAGAAAGGAAUUUGUUAAUUGUCGUUGCUGAAGCCCUUGACUUGGACACUGUGCAGCUGGCAGAUCCUAGACCCUCCCAGAAAUGAGCACCUCUGGUCCUCCCUGCAGUCAAGGCAACAGACAAGAAGGCAGUGAGUUUGCCAAGCCUGGAGGGGGGUGGCUCAGGAGCACUGCAGACUCACUCUGCAGGGUGGCUGCCUCAGUGUUCCCAUCUGAAAAAGGGGAACAGGUAAGACGGCUCAGAUUAUUUCAGAGGUGCUUCUAGCAGUGACCUCCUGCCAAGCUGGCUUUUGGAAGAUGUGUUAAGUCUGCGGUUUCACAGGACACGUCGCCACUUUCUCCUCGGAAGGCAGAGAGAGCCUCAGCAUCAGAGGAGGGACACUGUGUAGGUGCGAGGGGUGUAGGACCUGUGAACUCUACCUCUUUGCCUCAGAUCUUCCCUCCGGACCUGCUCCUCGCCUUAACCCAUGCCCUGGGUUCCCGGCUCUCUUGUGUGGCAGAUCCUGGCUCACUCCUGCUUCUCCAGGAAGUGGUUCUCCUUCCUUCUGCAGCGGCCAUAUCCAAAGAUCUUGCAGAUCCUGGAGCUGAUGUUGAAGAAGGACCUGGAAGGAAGGCUCCAGGUAGAAGGCAGGUGGCGGGGCUCCAGAGACAAAGGAGGGUCAAUAAGAAGAUGGUCAUCACAGCGGUCUACACAGCAAGCAGCAGAAACAACCGGCAUGGCCAAGCAUGGUGACUCACACCUGUAAUCCGAACACUUUGGGAGGCCGAGGUGGGUGGAUCACCUGAGGUCAGGAGUUCGAGACCAGCCUGACCAACAUGGAGAAACCCUGCCUCUACUAAAAAUACAAAAAUUAACCAGGUAUGGUGGCAUGUGUCUGUAGUCCCAGCUACUCAGGAGGCUGAGGCAGGAGAAUUGAAGGAGGCGGAGGUUGCAGUGAGCCGAGAUCAUGCUACUGCACUACAGCCUGGGCAACAGAGUGAGACUUCAUCUCAAAAAAAAAAAAGGUAAAAUAUUUUUAUGAAUAUUUGAGAAUUUAAGUCUCUGCAAUUAUUCAAUGUGUUCAUUCAGCCACAGACUUCUUCACCUCUUUAGUAAACCAUCAGGUAAACAGACGGAAAACAAAAACCUGGUGAAAUGAGAAAACCUUUGCAUUGAUGUGGAAGUUGUUUUCUUGGUUUUCUUUUUAAAGCUAGAAAUCACAUUCUGGUAGACGAUUAACACUUUAACUUGAUCUUGAAGUCUGGAAUGAUUUGUAUUCAGAUUCAAAGCUCUUGGGCUGAGCAGGGCUGGGUUAGGGUGCAGAGAGCAAGGCAGGACUGUGCAGGUGCAAGGUUGGACCCUGUCUUUAUUUUAAAUGUUUAUAUUUUGUUCAUGGACUUUUAAAAUUAAUUUUAAUUUUUUAAACCAUUGCAUUUUAAUAUGAUUUAUCUUGAUGGCUGAGGUUUUUGACUUCUUAAAUUCUGUGUCCAAGACCUCAUUCAUCUCACCCUUGUCCGGAGGUGAAGCCCUGUCCCUUGGGGCUGGAUGAAUGAGCUGGAUCUUUUGCUGAGAGCAGAUAUGAUGGAGACCCAGAAGGAGGAUAACACCAGAGCCCUGAGGAGGGAAGUGUGGGUGCCACAGAGUAGAAAUCAUUAGGAAAGGGAAGGCUGUGGUUCCUGAGGGCAGCCUCGCCUGCUGGGUAGCUCUACCUGGGGCUGCUACUCUUCCCUCUUCACCUUUUGAUGAGCAAAUCAAUGAGUUCCUGUACAUUUAGUCCUCUAAAGUAGGAUGAUUUAUCUGUUUUCUUUGAGUUGUAGGAGUUGGAAAUCUUUAUUGUUUAAUGCUUUUCUUUAUUUUCUAAGUUUUCUAUCAUGAGCAUAUAUUACUGCAUUUAGGUAUCAGGAAACAGCAAAGGAAAGACAUUUAAUUACUUAUGUAAAGAACGGAAUCAUCUUCAACAGAGCAAAGCAUUCUUACUAUUCAACAGACCUGAGACAGACCGAGGGAACAACACAUAUACACAGGUCUUCAGUGUUUGCCUGGACUGGUGCAGUAGCCUACUCACUGGCCCUCUGUCUCCACCCUUGGUCCCCUACAGGCCACUCUCCACACUGCAGCCAGAGGGAUCCUGUGACAAUUUGAAUCAGAUCAUGAUGUUCCUGUGAUUUCCCAUCUCUCUUACAAAGCCUAAGUUUUUAUACAGUCCUACAAGGCUUGCCCCCACAGCCUCUCUGACCAUAUCAUCUUACACUCUCCCACCCCACCCACUCAGCCCCAGCCACACUGGCCUCAUCGCUGCUGCUCAAACACAUCAGGCACAGUCUUCCUGGGGCCUUUGCACUAACCGCGUCUUCUUCCUGCAUUGCUCUUCUCCCAGCUGGUCACGAUGCUCACUUACUUUCUACAGGUUCUGCUCUUUGACCGGUCUACAUAAAAGAGCAGCACCUCCUUUACCCCCAUUACUCCUUAUCCCCUUCCACUAUUUUGUCUUCAAAAUGCUUGUCAUGACUCACAUAUUAUCUCCUUAUUUUUCUAUUGCCUGCCUCACCUAGAGGGUAGGGUCCUUUGCUGCUGUGUUUUGUUUACAGCUAUGUGCUCAUGGAGAACGAUGCCUUGUAGGUACUUGGCAAAUAUUUGUCAAAUGAAUUAAUCUGCUCAUGCUCAUUGAUGGUGGGGAUGGUGCUGCAGUCAUUGAAUAGAAUGAGGAUAAUUAAGUUCCCUGGAAAAAAGUGUAUUUGAUCAUCGGGCACCUCCUUGUUAGGAAUCGAGUUCUAACAUGUUAUAAAUGGUCUCGACAUGGGAGGUCAGAAGAGGGAAUGAUUUUUUCCAACUAGGGGAUCGAGAGAAGUUUCUCAGGGGUUGGACCUGGAUAUGAGCUUUGUAGCACAGUUGGAUUGGGACUGGAAGAGAAGAGGGUAGAAAAGUGGACUAAGGGAUCGGCACAAGCCAGGUACUUGGGGAAUGUGGAGGACUUAUGGCAUGAUUCUGAAACUGCCUUUGUGAAAAUUAUAACUGAGGAAAUUAUGACACUGAAAGAGAUCAGACCUAACCAACUCUAUCUUGCCUCUACCCUUUAAGCUGUCCUUGUUCAUUCCUGGGUGUAGGCAGAACUAACCUUAGGAAGGAAUUUAGUUUAUGGUUUGACUGAAACAAAAUUGACACUAGCCCUUUCCAAAACAUACCUCCUUCUUACCUGGGUAACAGUCUGCCUUAAUUAGCUACAAAAUUAGAAAUUACAGUUUAGGAAUCAUGCAGCAAGAGUUUGAACCUCCCCAAAUUGCUCCUGGUGAUAACAUCACUAUUGUAAAACCUAAGAUCAGCGCUUGAGAUAUUUUGCAGACCCUGCACUUGAUGGAUCAGCUGACACCACCCAGACCAGUAAUCUGGCUCAACCAGUUCUGCAAUCCCACCCAGGAACAGAAGACAGCAAGAAAACCUCACUUCAAUUCCCCUGUGAUUCCAUCUCCAACCUGACCAAUCAGCACUCUCCACUUCCCGAGCCCCUACCCACCAAAUUAUCUUUAAAAAUUCCAAUCCCGGGAUACUUGGGGAGACUGAUUUGAGCAAUCAUAAAACUCCAGUCUCCCACACAGCUGGCUCUGCAUGAAUUACUCUUUCUCCAUUGCAAUUCCCCUGUCUUGAGAAAUCAGCUCUGUCUAGGCAGUGGGCAAGGUGAACCCAUUGGGCGAUUACAAUUCCUUCCAGUUGCAGCUAUUGCAGGCUCCCAGGGCCUCUCCCUUCAACCCCCAUCACUUCCUUCACCUUCCUUCUGGAAUGGCCUCAGCCCAUGAAUGGAAUGGCCUCAGCCCAUGAAGAUGGAAGGAGGGAGGAAGGCUGUGGGCACUGCAGGAGCAGAGGGCAAUCAGAAUGUGUAAUUUAGAAAGUAGCCCAAGGACUGAGCAGAGGACCUCAGUUCCCCUACUCCUCCAUCACCCUAGAUGUCUUUUAAGAGAUGGAGUCUUCCUUUGUUGCCCAGGAUGGUGCCACCAUGCCCAACCCUCACCUCACAUGUGGUUCAACCCCAGAACCACAAAGCCAGAGAUACCUUAGAAACUCAGCAAAGCCACAGGAAGUGAGGCUUAUGGAGAGCAAUGCCUUGUAGGUACUUGGCAAAUAUUUGUCAAAUAAAUUAAUCUCCUGAUGCUCACUGGUAGUGGGGGGUGCUGCAGUCAUUGAAUAGAAUGUGGAUAAUUAAGUUCCUUAGAAAAAUGUGUAUUUGACCAUGGGUCACCUCCUUAUUAGGAAUCUAGCUCUAACAUGCAGCACUCUCAUGCUAUGAGAUUCACCAGCCUGAAGACACUCAAAGAUCUCGAGAGGAUAAUAGUUGAGACAUAGGAAAGUGAGGGCCUGGAGUUAUUACUAAUAUCUUGACAGCCUGGGAGAAGCACACCUUGGCCCUCGAGCAAACCUCCAGCAAACUCUCAGAAUACAGAACAAGUUUCUUGCUUUCUGCCUACAGGUGCCUCAGGCAGUUAAGCUGUUCUAGAUCCUUCUGAUUAAUUCUUAGAAGGGGGAAAUAAAAUAAUGAUUUCAUAUCGGAUUUUCUUACUUGGAGGUAGGUAGACAAAGUCUUUGAGAAUAAGACAUUUUAGUAAAAAAUGAGUAAAGAAUCUGUGUGGCAGGCAUCCCCACUGCACAGAUGAGGAAAUUAAGAAUAAGUAACUUACUCAAGAUCACACAGCUAGUAAGUGCUGGAGCCAGGACAAGCUACCAUUAAGCCACAACUCAAUCAUUGAAGAAUCUGGCUUCUAUAGGGAAUUCCUUUUUUUUUUUUUUUGGAGAUGGAGUUUCACUUAUGUCACCCAGGCUGGAGUGCAAUGGCACGAUCUUGGCUCACUGCAACCUCCGCCUCCUAGGUUCAAGCUAUUCUCCUGCCUCAGUCUCCCAGGUAGCUGGGAUUACAGGCAUGCACCACUAUGCCUGGCUAAUUUUUAUAUUAUCAGUAGAGACAGAGUUUCACCAUGUUGGCCAGGCUGGUCUCAAACUCCUGACCUCAGUUGAUCCACCUGCUUUGGCCUCCCAAAGUGCUGGGAUUACAGCUGCGAGCCACCGCACCCAGCCAGAGAAUUCUUAAAAUGCAGAUAACUGGUAAGGGUCUUGGGGAGGAGCUACCCAAACUCAUUUCUCCCCUUAGCCACCAAAGAACAGGGAUGAGUGAGUCUGGAGAGUUUUUUCCUAACACCAAAUACAUGGUAUUGUCAGAGGCGUUUGAAUCAGAGAGACUCCAUCUUGAAUAGGAGCUGGGUAAAAUAAGGCUGAGACCUGCUGGGCUGCUUUCCCAGGAGGUUAGGCAUUCUAAGUCACAGAGUGAGACAGGAGGUCGGUACAAGGUAUAGGCCACAAAGACCUUGCUGAUAAAAUAGGUUGCAGUAAAGAAGCCUGCCAAAACCCACCAAAACUAAGAUGGCAACAGAAGUGACCUCUAGUUAUCCUCACUGCUCAUGAUAUGCUAAUUAUAAUGCAUUAACAUGCUAAAAGACACUCCCACCAGCACCAUGACACUUUACAAAUGCCAUCAUAAUGUCAAGAAGUUACCCUAUAUGAUCUAAGAAGGGGAAGAACCCUCAAUUCCAGGAACUGCUGACCCCUUUCCCGUAAAACUCAUGAAUAAUCCACCCCUUGUUUAGCAAAUAAUCAAGAAAUAAUGAAAAAAAUAGCCAACCAGCAGCCCUUGGGGCUGUUCUGCCUAUGGAGCAGCCACUCUUUUAUUCCUUUACUUUCUUAAUAAAUUUGCUUUCACUUUACUCUAUGGACUCACCCUGAAUUCUUUCUUGCACGAGGUCCAAGAACCCUCUUUUGGGGUUUGGAUUGGGACCUCUUUCCGGUAACAGUAUCUUUUCCAACACCAACAAAUUCUCCAACACCAACUAGGUGUUCACAAAUUAAUUCACUUCUGACACUCCUGAGUUAGAACUGUAAACCAAAAGUAUCUGAAACAAGUCUCAAUUUUGGAGUUUAUUUUGCCAAGGUUAAGGACAUGCCUGUGGCACAGUCUCAGGGGAGGCCCUGAUGACGUGGGCCCAAGGUGGUCGGCCUAUAACUUGAUUUUAUACAUUUUAGGGGGACAUAAG
rnacentral:lncRNA from 10 species